rnacentral:rRNA from 1 species
CAGUAGCCGCGGUAAUACGAAGGGGGCUAGCGUUGCUCGGAAUCACUGGGCGUAAAGGGUGCGUAGGCGGGUUUUUAAGUCAGAGGUGAAAUCCUGGAGCUCAACUCCAGAACUGCCUUUGAUACUGAAAGUCUUGAGUUCGGGAGAGGUGAGUGGAACUGCGAGUGUAGAGGUGAAAUUCGUAGAUAUUCGCAAGAACACCAGUGGCGAAGGCGGCUCACUGGCCCGAUACUGACGCUGAGGCACGAAAGCGUGGGGAGCAAACAGGAUUAGAUACCCCGGUAGUCCCUGUCUCUUAUAC